GAAAUAUCAGUUGUCCUUUGCCUAUCUGAUCCGUGUUGUCAGCCAAGGUAAGUACGAGUCGACCC
rnacentral:sRNA from 1 species